GAGGAUAAUUUACAAACCUUACCGAAAGCAAUUGGAGGACAAGUCUGGUGCCAGCACCCGCGGUAAUUCCAGCUCCAAAAGCGUAUAUUAAAGUUGUUGCAGUUAAAAAGCUCGUAGUUGAAAUUCUGGCUGUAUUGGGCCUUUGCUUUCAUGCGAAGGAACCAGCAGUCAUCCGCUUGCAAGUACAUGCUCUUCCUUAACCGGUAGACUGUAUAAGUAAGCAUUUUACCUUGAGAAAAACAGAGUGUUCCAGGCAGGUUUGUCCGGAAUGCAUUAGCAUGGAAUAAUAGAAUAUGACUGAGGUCGAUUUAUUGGUUAGAGACUUUAGUAAUGAUUAAUAGGAACAAUCGGGGGCAUUGGUACUUGUCAGUCAGAGGUGAAAUUCUUGGAUUUGACAAAGACUAACUGAUGCGAAAGCGUUUGCCAAGAAUGUUUUCAUUAAUCAAGAACGAAAGUUAGGGGAUCAAAGACGAUCAGAUACCGUCCUAGUCUUAACUAUAAAACUAUAACCGACUCGGAUUCAGAUGAAUAU
rnacentral:rRNA from 1 species